GAUGAACGCUGGCGGCGUGCCUAAUACAUGCAAGUCGAGCGAACGGACGAGAAGCUUGCUUCUCUGAUGUUAGCGGCGGACGGGUGAGUAACACGUGGAUAACCUACCUAUAAGACUGGGAUAACUUCGGGAAACCGGAGCUAAUACCGGAUAAUAUUUUGAACCGCAUGGUUCCAAAGUGAAAGACGGUCUUGCUGUCACUUAUAGAUGGAUCCGCGCUGCAUUAGCUAGUUGGUAAGGUAACGGCUUACCAAGGCAACGAUGCAUAGCCGACCUGAGAGGGUGAUCGGCCACACUGUAACUGAGACACGGUCCAGACUCCUACGGGAGGCAGCAGUAGGGAAUCUUCCGCAAUGGGCGAAAGCCUGACGGAGCAACGCCGCGUGAGUGAUGAAGGUCUUCGGAUCGUAAAACGCUGUUAUUAGGGAAGAACAUAUGUGUAAGUAACUGUGCACAUCUUGACGGUACCGAAUCAGAAAGCCACGGCUAACUACGUG
rnacentral:rRNA from 1 species